GCUUGCGCCGUCCCCCGCCCCGGGCUCCAGGCGCAGCGCCGUCCCCGAGCCCCGGCGCUGCCCCCGAGUCUCGGCGCCGCCGUCCCCGAGUCCCGUCGCCGCCAUCCCCGAGUCCCAUCGCCGCCUCCGAGAGGAGCCGCCAUCUGUGAGCCCCGGCGCCAUCCCCAACCGCAUGCGUCGCCGUCCCCGAGUCUCCACGCCGCCUUCGCCGCACGCGCCGCCGUCCCCGAGUCCCGGCGCCGCCAGCCGAGGGGGCUGCAGUGGACUACGAAACUCAUUUAAGGCAACUUGUCAAGGAUGGCGUGGAUUGGAAUGUCACCAGUAUUUGGGAUAAGCAAGAUAAGGGACUGAACGGAUUGGUGGAAAUGAAAUAUCUAUCAAUGGUCUUGUUAUUAAGCUUGCGAUUGAAUUUGGAGCGGGCAUUGCUGUUAUUGUACUCUGCUUUGUUGAUAAGAAUGCAUCGAGAAUAUCCAAGACAAGCUGGGGAAUGGCUUGACCGGUGCUUCGUUUGUUGUUAUCGUGGUACCGACCAUUGAUCAAGGCAAUGGAAUAUAUGGCACCGAACCAACUGAAACUUUACUGACAUUUCGGUCUGACGAGGUGCUGCGUCCAAGCCACAAAAAUAAACGGCAGCCUGCAAGGAAUCUCUAUCAGGAAACAACAAAGGAAAGAUAGUCAAGGUUGGCAAUCCAGUUUAUGUUGGGCAUUCACUUCUAAUGAAGCCCCAGCCUGAAUCAGGGCUUUUCAAUUUCCCAUGUGCAAUAGACUAUAGUAGCAUUUAAACGGAGUUGUCAACAAAACGUGAGAAAAAGCAUUUGUCAUGUGUAUUGUGCUCAGAUUAAAAGAAACAGCUGGCUAUUAAGACUAUUGGAUGAUGCAAUUAAACAUUUCCCACAUCACACUACUCAUGAA